UACGGAGGGGGCUAGCGUUGUUCGGAAUUACUGGGCGUAAAGCGCACGUAGGCGGCUUUGUAAGUUAGAGGUGAAAGCCCGGGGCUCAACUCCGGAAUUGCCUUUAAGACUGCAUCGCUAGAAUUGUGGAGAGGUAAGUGGAAUUCCGAGUGUAGAGGUGAAAUUCGUAGAUAUUGGGAAGAACACCGGUGGCGAAGGCGGCUCACUGGCUCGUAACUGACGCUCAUGCACGACAGCGUGGGGAUCAAACAGG
rnacentral:rRNA from 1 species